GUGGGGAAUAUUGCACAAUGGGGGAAACCCUGAUGCAGCAACGCCACGUGUGGGAAGAAGCAUUUCGGUGUGUAAACCACUGUCAUGAGGGAAUAAGGCCCAGUUUAGGCUGGGAUUGAAUGUACCUUGAGAGGAAGCACCGGCAAACUUCGUGCCAGCAGCCGCGGUAAUACGAGGGGUGCAAGCGUUGUUCGGAAUUACUGGGCGUAAAGGGAGCGUAGGCGGAGAUUCAAGCGGAUUGUACAAUCCCGGGGCCCAACCCCGGCUCUGCAGUCCGAACUGGAUCUCUUGGAUAGUUCAGGGGCAGGCGGAAUUCCUGGUGUAGCGGUGGAAUGCGUAGAGAUCAGGAAGAACACCGAUGGCGAAGGCAGCCUGCUGGGGACUUAUCGACGCUGAGGCUCGAAAGUGCGGGUAGCAAACAGG
rnacentral:rRNA from 1 species